rnacentral:rRNA from 1 species
AGAGUUUGAUCCUGGCUCAGGAUGAACGCUGGCGGUAUGCAUUACACAUGCAAGUCGUACGAAAACUUCGGUUUUAGUGGCAAACGGGUGAGGAAUACAUGAGAAUCUACCUUUAAGAGGAGGAUAACAAUUGGAAACACUUGCUAAAACUCCAUACGCCUCUGGGUGAAAAAGUGUAAAACUGCUUAAAGAUGAGCUCAUGUCUGAUUAGCUAGUUGGUGAGGUAAUGGCUCACCAAGGCGACGAUCAGUAGCUGGUCUGAGAGGAUGAUCAGCCACACUGGAACUGAGACACGGUCCAGACUCCUACGGGAGGCAGCAGUGGGGAAUUUUCUGCAAUGGGCGAAAGCCUGACAGAGCAAUACCGCGUGAGGGAAGAAAGCCUACGGGUUGUAAACCUCUUUUCUCAAGGAAGAAGAUCUGACGGUACUUGAGGAAUAAGCAUCGGCUAACUCUGUGCCAGCAGCCGCGGUAAUACAGAGGAUGCAAGCGUUAUCCGGAAUUACUGGGCGUAAAGCGUCUGCAGGUGGACUUUUAAGUCCUUUGUUAAAGCCUAAGGCCUAACCUUAGUUCAGCAAAGGAAACUGGAAGUCUUGA